rnacentral:misc_RNA from 1 species
GGAAGCCCAAAAUGUUCUAUUAAAAAGUCAAAACUCUCAAUUCCUCUUCUCACUUCUCAGCCAAAUUGCAAGAUCUUGAGUGACAAUGGAUGCUGUUGGCUCUAUAUUGGGAUCCUUGAAUUUAUUAUGUGCACCCCUUUCAAGAGAAGUCUCUGUUUUGAAAAAUUUUCAGCAACUUGUAGAGGUAAUUCAUAUCAAGAUGGAGGAACUAAAUGGUCGAGAAAAUGAUGUCAAAAUGGAGAUUGAGAGGGGCAUGCUGGUCCCAAACAAGAAGCUGAAAAGUGAGGCAGAUUUGUGGCUUAAACAUGUGGAGAAGAUAAGAAAAGAAUUGAGCAGCAUAGAAAAUUGUAUUAGUGAAAAAGGGAAAUGCAUGAAGGGCUGUUUUCCUAAUUGCUAUUCGCGAUACAAAUUAGGCAAGCGUAUUGCAGAAAAGAUUGAAGAAGUUAAUGAGCUUCAGAGAAAGGGAGCAUUUCCAAAUGGUUUGUUUGUUGACCUUUUGCCUGAAACUAGAAAGAAGAUGCCAACAACAUUGAUGGUUGGUAAAACAACACCCUUGAAGGUUUGUCAAGAAAUUUUGGGAUGCUUGUUGGAUGCUAACAUCAGUAAGAUGGGCAUAUAUGGCAUGGGUGGUGUUGGAAAGACAACUAUUAUGAUGCAUGUGAACAAUUUAAUCAUUGAAGACAAGAGUUUUGACAGUGUCAUUUGGGUGACUGCAUCAAAAAUUUUCAGCCCAGAGAAAUUGCAAACUGAUAUAGCAAAAGCAGUUGAUUUGGACCUCUUGGACGAUAAUAUCGCUAGGAGAUCAACCAUCUUGUUCGACCAUCUGCUGGCCAGGAAAAAGUUUGUACUCAUUCUUGAUGAUUUAUGGUAUAGGUUUUCUUUAGAGGAGGUAGGGAUCCCACAACCAACUAAUGAAAACGGUUGUAAGUUAAUAGUUAUCACUAGACUCUUGGAAGUUUGUCGAGGCAUGGAAACUCACAGGGAAAUCAAAGUCGAUGUCCUCUCUAAAGAAGAGGCAUGGGAUCUUUUCAUUGAUAAAGCAGGAACAGGUGCAAUUCUUUCUCCUGAAGUUGAAGCCGUUGCAAAGCGGAUUCCUGAAGAAUGUGGCUAUUUGCCACUUGCGAUCAUUACUGUGGGACGAGCAAUGAGGAAAAUUGAUAAUGCAAGAGUUUGGAAGAAUGCAUUGGAAGAACUGAAAACUUCAAGAUCAGAAAUUGAAGGCAUGGAAGAAAAUGUCUUUGCACGUUUAAAAUUUAGUUACUACCACUUAAGAAAUGAUAGGGUUCAAGCUUGUUUUCUGUAUUGUGCAUUGUUUCCUGACAAUUACAAGAUUGAUGUUGAGGAAUUAGUGGAGUACUGGAUGGCAGAAGGAUUGAUAGAUGAAGUGGGAGAUAGGGAGAAUGAGAUAAACAAGGCACAUGCAGUGCUUCAGGAACUCAAAGAUGCUUGCAUGCUAGAGAGUAUAGGAACAAAGUGGGUGAAAAUGCAUGAUUUAUUAAGGGAUUUGGCAAUUAAAAUCACUGGGAACAGUCCUCGGUUUAUGGUAAAAGCUGGAAUGAGAUUGAGAACAUUUCCAAGGAUAUGGCUGGAGGAUGUUGAAAGGGUGUCCUUAAUGGAAAAUGACAUCACAGUUCUUCCAGAUUGUCCCAAUAGCAUAAAUCUGUAUACUCUGCUCCUGCAACAGAACCCUCUCUCAAAUAUUCCUGCAACUUUCUUUGUGAAAAUGCAUAACCUUAGAGUUCUUAAUUUUUCUGGCUGUUCUAUCAAGUCAAUGCCAGAUUCACUUCCCAGCUUACAGAACCUCCGUGCACUCCUUUUAUGCUUUUCUGAUCUUAAAAAUCUUCCUUCAUUAGCAAUGCUCAAGGAACUGAGGAUACUGGACCUUUCAUAUAGCUUGAUCGAAGAGUUGCCAUAUGGUAUCGAAGGCUUGGUAAAUCUCAGGCGUCUUGAUCUCUCUUAUACAGAGGAACUACAUGUGUUUCCUGCUGGGGCUGUAUCGAAACUACCCUGUCUAGAAAACCUAUCCAUGUUUAAAAGUCGAUAUAGAUGGUCACCAACUUCACAACGAUUGGAUAACGGAGCAAAUCUUGAAGAAGUCACAAGCUCAUCACACUUGACUAGUCUUGGUCUCUCUUUCGAAGAUCCAUACAGCUUCAAUAGCUAUGUGAGGUCUGGGCACUGGCAAUUCCUGAAGAGCUACCAUAUCGGUAUAGGACAUUUGUCAAGCUUUUUACCUGUUGCUAAAGACACUUAUAGUGUAGAAAUUCAAGGUUGUGACCUUAUUUCCAGUGAGAGUUGUAUCAUGAUCCCAGACAACACUCAGCAGUUGGCACUACAUGGUUGUCAUGAUUUUGAUAUUCUGUCAAAACUGUCAAGUAUAUCAAAACUAGCUGACUUAAAGGAAUGUUAUGUCUCCAGUUGCAUUGGGUUGGAGUGCAUCACAAUGGCUGAUGAGAAUUCUUUUCCAAGCCUCAAAUGGUUGGUCCUGCAUAAGCUGCACAACCUGAAGGCUCUGUGCGAUGGAUACGUGGCAGGCUGCAAUGUCCUGUUCAGUUUGAAAACUCUGCAUAUCUAUAACUGUAAUAGGCUCAGGCGCCUAUUCUCAGUUGGUCUUUUACGGUGUCUCCAAAAUAUUGAAGAAGUUGAGGUAUGGAAUUGUAGUUCGAUAGAGGUGAUAAUUGAUGAGGAGGAAAUAACCUGCGGAGACAAUAGCAAUACCUUACCUAGCGUGUCACUUCCAAGGUUACUUCGAUUGUUCUUAUCAGCAUUGCCUGAAUUGAAAAGCAUUUCCAGAAGAUUAUGUGUCUGUAACUCCCUGGAUUCUAUUGAUGUAUUGGACUGUGGAAAGCUAAAGAGGCUCCCUUUUUCUGUGGAGACCUUGCCUUUGUCCGUCAAGCACAUCAGGGGAAGUAGGAAAUGGUGGGAUGAGUUGGCUUGGGAUGACCCUAAUGCUAAGAGUUCUUUACUGCCUUUCUUUAAAGAAGAUAGGUAAAAAGUACAUGAUAUUGUCCACAAAUUUUUUUUUUUCAGAUUAUAAUUACAAAUUGAUUUUUUUUAAAAAUAAUCCUUUGUAAAAAUGUAAUGUAAACCAUUAGAUGAAAACCUUUCGUGUGAUAAUUACUAUAGCAGAUUGAAACCAAGUUUGAUUUUG